AACGCGAAGAACCUUACCUGGUCUUGACAUCCACAGAACUUUCCAGAGAUGGAUUGGUGCCUUCGGGAACUGUGAGACAGGUGCUGCAUGGCUGUCGUCAGCUCGUGUUGUGAAAAUGUUGGGUUAAGUCCCGCAACGAGCGCAACCCUUAUCCUUUGUUGCCAGCGGUUCGGCCGGGAACUCAAAGGAGACUGCCAGUGAUAAACUGGAGGAAGGUGGGGAUGACGUCAAGUCAUCAUGGCCCUUACGACCAGGGCUACACACGUGCU
rnacentral:rRNA from 1 species